CGCUCACCCCCUUCGCUCAUCCCCCUCUCGCUCUCUGUUGGCCGGUGCUUCUCUCUCUCCCUUACUUCCCUCCCGUCUCCUCUCUCUUGUGCGCAAUUUCUGGGCAAUUUCUCUGGCCUCGUGAGCUCUAGCGCCGCGCUCUGCUUGCGGAGCUCCCUCCCUGCUCGCGUGCGCGUGCCUGCUUUUUGCGCCGCGGCAGCUGAGCUGCUCCCUGGCGCUUGCCCUGGCCGCCGCGCCCCUGGACGCCUGCUUCUUCUCCGUGGCGCCGAGCUCUCAUCCCCAUGGCCGAGUCCCCUCCCCGGCACACUCCUCUCACUGGU
rnacentral:misc_RNA from 1 species